UUAUGUUUGUUUGUUUUUGAGACAGGGUCUUGCUCUGUCACCCAGGCUGGAGUGCAGUGGUGUGAUCUUGGCUCACUGCAACCUCUGCCUCCUGGGCUCAAGCAGUCCUCCCACCUCAGCCUCCUUGAGUAGCUGAGACCACAGGUGUGCACCAUCAUGCCCAGCUAAUUUUUGUAUUUUUUGUAGAGACAGGGUUUUGCCAUGUUGCCCAGACUGGUCUCCAACUCCCAGGCUCAUGUGAUCCUCCUGCCUCAGCCUGCUGGGCUGCUGGGAUUACAGGCUGAGCCACCGCACCAGCCACAGUGUCUUCUAAUGACCCUGAACCACGGUUUUAUUUUCAAUUCUUCAUUCCUGUUCUCAUUCCUUAAUGCCGGGUGCCUUCUUGCUGCACAUUUUGAACUCACUGCCAGUGUGUCUCUGCUGUCAUCUGACAUGCAGAGCUAUAGGUGCUGCGGCGAAGGGUGCAGGUUUGGAGCCGUUUAAACAGCCUGGCCCAGCCUCCUCACUCCCUGCUUACCUUGGUCAAGGCUUCAGUCUCUAAACCUCAGCUUUCUCAUCUGCAGAGCACAGACAAAACCACCUGCCUUUGAGCUGUCUUAUAAAGCCUAAAUCAAUGCGCACAGCAGGUACACAGCAAUGCUUGAUAAAUUGUUACUAUUAUUGGGUGAAUUUUAGGUUUUGUUUUUUUGUUUUUUGUUUUUUUGAGACAGAGUCUCUCUGUUGUCCUGGCUGGAGCGCAGCGGUGCGAUCUUGGCUCACUGCAACCUCCAUCUUCUGAGGUUCAAGUGAUUCUCGUGCCCCAGCUUCCCAAGUAGCUGGGAUUACAGGUGCCCGCCACCACAUCCAGCUAAUUUUUUUAUUUUUAAGUAGAGAUGGGCUUUUGCCAUGCUUCCCCAGCUGGUCUUGAACUCCUGGCCUCAAGUGAUCCUCCUGUCUCGGCCUCCCAAAGUGCUGGGAUUACAGGCUUGAGCCACCACACCCAUCUAGAAAUUUAGAUUUUUUUAAAUCCGUGGUUGAAAAAUAGGCUAUGGCUGGCUUACUCAUUGUGCUUUAGGGAAGCAUGUAUUUGGGUGAAGGAAAUGAUAAAAGGAAUUUCAUGUCGGGCCCAGGCGCCGCCCACCCUGCAAGACAGUUUACAGAUGCCUGCCCUGACAGCUGUCUGCAGUUAGCCAGCGUCAGCCGAGGGGUCCUGAGAUCCGCUGAAGGCCGCCUUUGCAUGCCGACGGCAAGGGAAAAGUGCCAUAUGUCCCUGGGCUUGCCACAGGUGACCUUUGGUUGGGACCAUUCUCCAGACAGCGCAGCUCAUCUUUCCAGAACACUCAUGGGGAGUGUGCCUGUGUCUGGCUGGCUGUGUGGGCUCCCAUUCAGUUCAUUCCCCUUCUCCAGCCUUUAGGCAUGACCCUAAAGGCAGAGGUCUCAAGCACUUGCCAGGGGUGAGCCAGCGGUGGGGGCGCCCGUGCCAGGGCAGGCCUGCUGUGGGGCUUGGUCAGCGAGUCUUCUCCCCACACGCAGGAUUUCCUCCCGUCCACUGCCUCUGCCCACAGGUGACCUUUCUCUUUUAAACGAAUUGGGGUCCCUUGGUACCCCCACAAACCCUGAGUUCCCUCUCUCCUUUCUGCGUCCUUUCUGCUCGCCUGCAUGUGCCUGCAGCAUCAUGACCGCUGGGAAGACACUUCCCUGCACCUGCACGCUGUCUGCAGGCGUCUCUGGCCAUCCUGGGCUGAGCUGCGUGAUCUCGGGUAGCGGCCCCUCGUUCACCCGUACAGGAUGUCUUUGGAAUUGGUCUCUAGUGUCCUUUAUAAAUAACUGGUAUAAAAGAACCCCGGGCAAUGGCCUUGCAGAAAGCCCACACUUCAGAGCUGGGCUGGUGUCCAGCGCGAGAAGCCUGAGGCCGUCCUGUGCGGGAAGCCGCAUCCUGGUUCUGUGGGGCCGUCCUUCCCGGACAACUGGCUGGGGGGCACGAGACUCUGGUGGCCGACAAGAGGCCCACCUGCUUGGCCUCCCUCUUGUCCUUCCCCACACGGCCCUCUGAACAGGACUAACUCCCUCUGAGGCCCGCGUGUGACAAAGAUGCACCGUUCUCACCACGGAACUCUUCAGCCCUGCAGUUCUCCCGAAGGUGAAUGAGGGCAUCCCAGAGUCCCCAUCAGGAGACAGACGAUGCUGCGUUCCCAGCAUCCCCAGAGCCCUCCCAGGCACGCAGGUCUCCUGCCGGCAAACAGAUCUCCCGGCACGAGCCCCUCCACACUUCUGGGAAGAGUGUCUUCAGCUCACCAGGCCGGAGCCAGGGGAAGAGACCGAGGGAGGAGGCUCCAAGACCCCCUGGGUGGGGGGGACAAGCACUCAAAGCCAGGACUGGCACCCCUCACAUGCCAGCACCCACGGGGUCAGGUGCGCCCUGCUGUCUCUGGGGGCCCCGCAGGCCUCUGGCCACCUGCCCAGCAGCAAGCCCCGUCGAGCACCCCCCAGCCGGCCUUCCUGGGGGCGGGCUAGGCCUCACAUGGCUUUUUUUAAAAUAUGGAAAACCAGUGUAACCCUAAAGCAAGUUUUAGGAGAAAAUAUAAUUCCUAUUACUCUGUCGUCUAUAAUUCCAUUCUGCUCUUAACUCUUCAUUUUUUCGCACUGUCUGUUCUGCAGACAUACGAUGGUUGUUUUCUGCUUCCUAAUCAUCUAGUGACAUUUUUCAUCUUCUGCACCUCUCACGGGGCGUGGCUGUGCGGUACUCGGCCACACCAAGGUGCACGUGAGAAGCGUAAUUGGGCGUAAAGAUCAGCGUCUCCAUGCAGAGUGGCGGUUCUCUCCCUUUCUGCUGCUACCUUCCGUCUGUCUCCUCCCAACUGUUGCUUAGAGAAAGUUAUUGUAAUUUCAUGAAACGUCCUCAAUGUAAGUCAUCAAAACUCAUGCUUAGCAGAGACCUCCUCUCUGGACAGAAAUACUGUAGGUGUCUCCUGUGGGCGCUCCCUGACCAUCCCAGGAGGAGGGGUCCCACCAGUGCCAACGCCCUCCCCCUGUCCGCAGAACUGGUCAUGCUGCUGGAGUGGUGGUCCUGCACGGAGUGUACGCUCUUCACGGACCAGGCCACGGUAGAGCGCUUUGGGAAGGAGCACGCAGUCAUCAUCCUCAACCACAACUUCGAGAUCGACUUCCUCUGUGGCUGGACCAUGUGUGAGCGCUUCGGAGUGCUGGGGAGCUCCAAGGUCCUCGCUAAGAAGGAGCUGCUCUACGUGCCCCUCAUCGGCUGGACGUGGUACUUUCUGGAGAUUGUGUUCUGCAAGCGGAAGUGGGAGGAGGACCGGGACACGGUGGUGGAAGGGCUGAGGCGCCUGUCCGACUACCCCGAGUACAUGUGGUUUCUCCUGUACUGCGAGGGGACGCGCUUCACGGAGACCAAGCACCGCGUCAGCAUGGAGGUGGCGGCUGCUAAGGGGCUUCCUGUCCUCAAGUACCACCUGCUGCCACGGACCAAGGGCUUCACCACCGCGGUCAAGUGCCUCCGGGGGACAGUCGCAGCUGUCUAUGAUGUAACCCUGAACUUCAGAGGAAACAAGAACCCGUCCCUGCUGGGGAUCCUCUACGGGAAGAAGUACGAGGCGGACAUGUGCGUGAGGAGAUUUCCUCUGGAAGACAUUCCGCUGGAUGAAAAGGGAGCAGCUCAGUGGCUUCAUAAACUGUACCAGGAGAAGGAUGCGCUCCAGGAGAUAUAUAAUCAGAAGGGCGUGUUUCCAGGGGAGCAGUUUAAGCCUGCCCGGAGGCCAUGGACCCUCCUGAACUUCCUGUCCUGGGCCACCAUUCUCCUGUCUCCCCUCUUCAGUUUUGUCUUGGGCGUCUUUGCCAGCGGAUCACCUCUCCUGAUCCUGACUUUCUUGGGGUUUGUGGGAGCAGCUUCCUUUGGAGUUCGCAGACUGAUAGGAGUAACUGAGAUAGAAAAAGGCUCCAGCUACGGAAACCAAGAGUUU
rnacentral:sRNA from 1 species